rnacentral:rRNA from 1 species
GAUGAACGCUGGCGGCGUGCCUAAUACAUGCAAGUCGAGCGAACAGACGAGGAACUUGCUCCUUUGACGUUAGCGGCGGACGGGUGAGUAACACGUGGGUAACCUACCUAUAUGACUGGGAUAACCUCGGGAAACCGGAGCUAAUACCGGCUAAUAUUUCGAACAGCAUGGUUCGAUAGUGAAAGAUGGCUUUGCUAUCACUUAUAGAUGGACCUGCGCCGUAUUAGCUAGUUGGUAAGGUAACGGCUUACCAAGGCAACGAUACGUAGCCGACCUGAGAGGGUGAUCGGCCACACUGGAACUGAGACACGGUCCAGACUCCUACGGGAGGCAGCAGUAGGGAAUCUUCCGCAAUGGGCGAAAGCCUGACGCAGCAACGCCGCGUGAAUGAUGAAGGUCUUCGGGUCGUAAAACUCUGUUAUUAGGGAGGAACAAACGUGUAAGUAACUGUGCACGUAUUGACGGUACCUAAUCAGAAAGCCCCGGCUAACUCCGUG